CUGUUGAGGGAUCCCUGGUGCUCUACAAAUUCUUCUAUUGCAUCUUUCCUCACUAUGUGUCCUGAGUGCAAGGGCCUUCUUCUAUAGCUGCUGAAAUUCAACUUUGCUGUAGGGGUUCGCCUCAGAUAGCUCCUCUUCCAUGAGACUUUCUGGAUACUCCACUCUUUGUCCUAAAUCCCCGUCUGGAUGAUGACAAGAGCUUAGGGAUUGGCAGAAGCACAAAGUAGAAAGAGCCUGGCUCCUUGACUCAGUGCGUGGAGGAAAGCUCCUGGCCAGUCAGGAACAUCUGC